GACGAACGCUGGCGGCGUGCUUAACACAUGCAAGUCGAACGGAAAGGCCCUGCCUUUGUGCGCUGCUCGAGUUGCGAACGGGGGAGUAACACGUGAGUACCCUGUCCCUGACUUUGGGAUAACUUCAGGCAACUGGGGCUAAUACCGCAUAGGAGCUCCUGCUGCAUGGUGGGGCUGGGAAAGUUUCGGCGGUUGGGGAUGUACUCGCGUCUUAUAAGAUUGUUGGUGGGGUAGUGGCUUACCAAGGCUUUGACGGGUAGCCGGCCUGAGAGGGUGACCGGCCACAUUGGGACUGAGAUACGGCACAGACUCCUACGGGAGGCAGCAGUGGGGAAUAUUGCACAAUGGGCGGAAGCAUGAUGCAGCAACGCCGCGUGCGGGAUGACGGCCUUCGGGUUGUAAACCGAUUUCGCCUGUGACGAAGCGUGAGUGACGGUAAUGGGUAAAGAAGCACCGGCUAACUACGUG
rnacentral:rRNA from 1 species